rnacentral:rRNA from 1 species
AACGAACGCUGGCGGCAGGCCUAACACAUGCAAGUCGAACGCAUCGCAAGAUGAGUGGCGCACGGGUGAGUAACACGUGGGAAUGUAUCCUUUGGUUCGGAAUAACGUCUGGAAACGGACGCUAAUACCGGAUGAGCCCUUAGGGGAAAGAUUUAUCGCCGAAGGAGCAGCCCGCGUCUGAUUAGGUAGUUGGUGGGGUAAAGGCCUACCAAGCCGACGAUCAGUAGCUGGUCUGAGAGGAUGAUCAGCCACACUGGGACUGAGACACGGCCCAGACUCCUACGGGAGGCAGCAGUGGGGAAUAUUGGACAAUGGGCGCAAGCCUGAUCCAGCCAUGCCGCGUGAGUGAUGAAGGCCUUCGGGUUGUAAAGCUCUUUCGCACACGACGAUGAUGACGGUAGUGUGAGAAGAAGCCCCGGCUAACUUCGUGCCAGCCGCCGCUGUAAUAC